UACGAAGGGGGCUAGCGUUGCUCGGAAUCACUGGGCGUAAAGGGUGCGUAGGCGGGUUCUUAAGUCAGAGGUGAAAUCCUGGAGCUCAACUCCAGAACUGCCUUUGAUACUGAGAGUCUUGAGUAUGACAGAGGUGAGUGGAACUGCGAGUGUAGAGGUGAAAAUUCGUAGAUAUUCGCAAGAACACCAGUGGCGAAAGGCGGCUCACUGGGUCAUUUACUGACGCUGAGGCACGAAAAGCGUGGGGGAGCAAAACAGG
rnacentral:rRNA from 1 species